rnacentral:RNase_P_RNA from 1 species
CAUGAUUUCCGGCAGAUGGUCGCUCGCGCGAGCGAGAGGAAAGUCCGGGCACCGCAGGGCAAUCCGCCGAUUGUGAAAAUCGGGCGCUGAUCGUGAAGGGUCAGUGACGGAAAGUGUCACAGAAAACAAACCGCCGUCAGCGGACGGCAAGGGUGAAACGGUGGGGCAAGAGCCUACCGCGCGAAGGGCAACCGACGCGGCACGACAAACCCCGGAUGGUGCAAGGUUGAACAGGAAGCAAUGGCGGCCCGCCAGCCGUGAGGCGCUUCCGGGUAAACCGCAGCCGCGAGGCUGCCGCAAGGCAAGAUAAAUGACCGUCACCCCGCGAGGGGCACAGAACCCGGCUUAUCGCCGACCAUGAAGG